ensembl:lncRNA
CUGCAUUCUUUAAAAUCACAGGAAAAAAAACAAUGUUUAAAAAAAAAAAAAAUUAUUAUUCAUUAAAAGGCUUUAAUGCAUGUCGCAUAUGUACAUUACAUGCAUUUCUUGUGAACAUAGCGAGUCUAAAAUGAAGGGGCGGCUUAUUUUCCGGAAUGUAGCACAGCCGCUUUCAGCUGGGCCGUGGCAGAAAGCCUGCAUUUCUAACACACUCACUCAUCUGGGUGGGUGAGUGUGAGUCACAACCUUUUUCCUCGAACUCCCUUCCUCGCUACUCUCUCACUCCGUCCACACCGUAUGGGAGCGCGCCCAGGAAUUUGCCUUUCAACCCGUAAUCAUCCACUGGGCUCAGAAUUCGAUCCUAUUACCUUUUUCUAUUGAUGACGUUUGAUACGUACGUGACCAAAUCUUCAGCGUCACGUUAGUCACAUAGAAGUAAAAUUACCCAUUAAUACAGUGCCACAUUCUGGGUGUGCAGGUGUGGCACUAUACUAAUGGGUACCGGGUCAAAAUGUACUUGUACCUGCCCUUUCCGAAUCCAAGCAAGUUGAAUUAAGUUCCAAGAAGAAAUAAAUAACAUGGGUUUUAACACUUCAGUUGCAAACGACAGUUUAAAUCAAAACUUCUCCUGUCUGGUCUUUUCCAGUGAAGGGAUGCGUCUCUGUACAGGAUAUAAAACAGAAAUGAACACAUUAAACGAUUCCAGACCAUUACAAAACAUCAACUCAUUUGCUCUUUUGACUUUUGUAUCCCAUAUGACCAACCGCAUACUUUAUAUAUAAAGGAAUCCAUUGUAAUCAUGAUCACAUCCCAAAGUGUUUUCCUCUUCCGCCACACCAAAUUGGCAAUAAUGACUGUUGUUGUUGUUGUUGUUGUUGUCGUUGUCAGCUUCUAGUUAGGUUUAAUUUUGUGGAACAUCCAUGAAACAAGUUGGUUUGUAUCUGCGAUAACACGAGACUAUUUAUUUAUUUAUUUUUAAAUACAGCUGAAGAUACUGAGAAACUGGAACGCAUGAACACCUCAGUUCUGAAGAUCUCCCAUGCCAGAAAACUGUCCCAAAGCACUGGAGACUCCUUCCAUAAAUGUUUACGAAAUUAGUUGAAUUCAAAGUUGUGAUUGACAGAACAACUGUCGUAGUUGAGUUUACAAGUUUUCUGCCUUUUAAAAAUUUUUUUUUUAUAUAUAUACCCAUUCGGUUUGAUUCCUGUUUUAAACAUGAGCUCAUCAUGGGACAAUCAAACUCGCCCUUUAGUCAGAGCUCCUGGGACGCUCCAUUAAGAUAGCUAGUAAACAACUCUGCCCGAAAAGCUAACAGUGUUAAAGCUAGUAGGGAUCCGUGAGUUGGAGUUUGGUUCGGUAGUGGCCCGCCUUCAUUCCUGCGCUCACUCUACCUUGAACGACUCAACGUUCACUGCCAGCAUUUCCUAAAUACACUAUUUGCUCAAAAGCACCCGUAACAUGCCGUUACCAUGAUAGCGAAGGAGUGUGUUUGCUUGGAGGAUGCCAUUUUGGGGUGUGUCUCCUAGCCGAGAGUGUCUUCUAUUCAUCAGUGUUACACAUUCACCCACAGAAGUCCCUUCAGUAUUUGAAAAUCUCAAUAUUUUAAUGGCAGGAAAGUAGGUUAGUUAUGCUAAACUGCC